ACGGGGGGUGCAAGCGUUACUCGGAAUCACUGGGCGUAAAGAGCAUGUAGGCGGAUUAAUAAGUUUGAAGUGAAAUCCUAUAGCUUAACUAUAGAACUGCUUUGAAAACUGUUAAUCUAGAAUGUGGGAGAGGUAGAUGGAAUUUCUGGUGUAGGAGUAAAAUGCGUAGAUAUCAGGAGGAAUACCGGUUGCGAAGGCGAUCUACUGGAAAAUUAUUGACACUGAGGCGCGAAAGCGUGGGGAGCAAACAG
rnacentral:rRNA from 1 species